rnacentral:rRNA from 1 species
CCUACGGGAGGCAGCAGUGGGGAAUCUUAGACAAUGGGGGAAACCCUGAUCUAGCCAUGCCGCGUGAGUGAUGAAGGCCCUAGGGUCGUAAAGCUCUUUCACCAGGGAUGAUAAUGACAGUACCUGGAAAAGAAACCCCGGCUAACUCCGUGCCAGCAGCCGCGGUAAUA